rnacentral:rRNA from 1 species
GACAGAGGUGGCAAGCGUUAAUCGGAAUUACUGGGCGUAAAGCGUGCGCAGGCGGUUGUGUAAGACAGGCGUGAAAUCCCCGGGCUUAACCUGGGAAUUGCGCUUGUGACUGCACGGCUUGAGUGCGGCAGAGGGGGAUGGAAUUCCGCGUGUAGCAGUGAAAUGCGUAGAUAUGCGGAGGAACACCGAUGGCGAAGGCAAUCCCCUGGGCCUGCACUGACGCUCAUGCACGAAAGCGUGGGGAGCAAACAGG